UACGUAGGGUGCAAGCGUUGUCUGGAAUUAUUGGGCGUAAAGAGCUCGUAGGCGGUUUGUCGCGUCUGCUGUGAAAACCCGAGGCUCAACCUCGGGCCUGCAGUGGGUACGGGCAGACUAGAGUGCGGUAGGGGAGAUUGGAAUCCUGGUGUAGCGGUGGAAUGCGCAGAUAUCAGGAGAACACCAAUGGCGAAGGCAGAUCUCUGGGCCGUAACUGACGCUGAGGAGCGAAAGCAUGGGGAGCGAACAGG
rnacentral:rRNA from 1 species